ACGUCUUCACCAUCACCACUGAGCCGUUGCACGCUGGUCAUCAUCUUGCUGCACGUGUUCUGGAACAUCAUAUUUUUUUGAUGGCUGUGAGAAGAAAAAGUGGUACAUCCUUCUUAUAGUUCUCCUGACCCAUCUGCUGGUGUCAGCCCACACCUUCGUAAGUCCUCAUUAUGGAAUAAACCUGGUGUCAGCAUUUAUAAUUCUGGUGCUCAUGGGCAUCUGGGUAUUCUUUGUUGCUGGAGGCAGCUGCCGAAGCCUCAAACUGUGCCUAAUCUGCCAAGACAAGGACUUUCUUCUUUACAACCAGCGCUCCAGAUAACCUGUGGGAACCAGCACUUCCCAAACUGCAGACUACAUCUUUAGAGGAAGCACAACUGUGCCUCUUUCUAAAAAAAUCCCUUUUUUUCAGGUGGAAUUGAGAAAAAAAACAAAACUAUCCAGAUACGAGUUCCUUUCACUUGGCUUUCACACAACCGCUCUCCGAAAGGGAUGCCUCAGUGGUGUGCGUCCUGGCUGCACGGGAAUCACCCGGGGCAAUAUAAAGCCUACUGAUUCUGGGCUCCCCCCUCCAGAGUUAAUUGGCCUGGGCACAUGGUAGUUGUCGUACUCCUCAUUUUUCCAGAGGCCAAAACUAAACCCAUGGGCAUCUUUAUCUGGCUGCCUGUAGAGUGAACCCUUGUGAGUUUUGGAGGCUGGAAAUCUGAGAUCAAGAUAUCAGCAUGGCCGAGUUCUUGUGACGGCUCUUCUGGGUUGCAGACUGCUGACUUCUUAUAUUCUCACAUGGCAGAGAGCAGAGAGAGGAAGCUUGGGACUCUUACAAGGACAGUAAUCCCAUUCAUGAAGGCUUCAUUCUUAUAACCUCAUCUAAUCCUAAUGGCCUCCCAAAGGUCCCAUCUCCUAAUACCAUGACAUCGGGGAAUGAGAUUUUAACAUAUUCAACAUAUUAAUUUUGGGGGAAUAGAAAUGUUCAGUCCAGUACAGAGGCCUCACAGGUUCCUGAAAGUUCACACAAUCAAAACUGAACAAAUCCGACUCUCCAGAUCUGCUUCAAAAAUGAACAUUCUCUCUCCAGAUCUCCUUAAAAUUAAACAUUUCUUCUCCAAAUCU